rnacentral:rRNA from 1 species
GAUGAACGCUAGCUACAGGCUUAACACAUGCAAGUCGAGGGGAAACGAUAUUGGAAGCUUGCUUCCGAUAGGCGUCGACCGGCGCACGGGUGAGUAACGCGUAUCCAACCUGCCCACCACUUGGGGAUAACCUUGCGAAAGUAAGACUAAUACCCGAUGAUAUCCCUAGAAGACAUCUGAAAGGGAUUAAAGAUUUAUCGGUGAUGGAUGGGGAUGCGUCUGAUUAGCUUGUUGGCGGGGUAACGGCCCACCAAGGCAACGAUCAGUAGGGGUUCUGAGAGGAAGGUCCCCCACAUUGGAACUGAGACACGGUCCAAACUCCUACGGGAGGCAGCAGUGAGGAAUAUUGGUCAAUGGGCGCAAGCCUGAACCAGCCAAGUAGCGUGAGGGACGACGGCCCUAUGGGUUGUAAACCUCUUUUAUGCGGGGGAUAACCGGUGCCACGCGUGGCGCCCUGCAGGUACCGCAUGAAUAAGGACCGGCUAAUUCCGUG